ACUUGGAACAGGAAAUGCUAGAUAGAUGAUUUCUACUUUUAGCUUUCCAAUUUUGGUGAACAGCAUUAUUCUCUUUCCGCUAGUCAAUCAACUGUGAUCCAGUGUUCCACAUUUUACCUCUCAGAACAAUUUGCGUGGUGAAGAAUGUGAUUUGGUAAUUUGAUUUAAGAACUUUCAAGUGAUAACUGGGCCCUCUUCUAUCACAUUGCCCUGUUCCCAUUGUUAUAUUAUAAGCCUGUGAGCACACCAGAGACUUGGGUUUCAGCAGUUUGUGAAAGUGCCCAAAAUGUGAAUUGCAAGAAGUCUGUAACUACCCAACACGCGGUCGCUGGGCACUCGCUAUUAAGAGGAACUACGCAACCUUCCCCGUCAGUUGCAGACCCCCAAGAUCUUCUGGCCGUUCCUUGAAUCCCACGAUGAAAAGCAAGUCCUCGACUCUUAUCAGAUCACCAAGGAACCCAUGGACUUUGGUAGAGACCGAUUGCAGAGAGACAUCAUCAAUGGCUUUUAGAGUUUAUUACCGACAUUAUCGCAUCUGACUUUGCUAGCACUUGGUACAAUCUUUUGGUGUGGGGGAAAAUAAAGGUAGCAAGCAGCCCAUUGGACAUAAUGCAUGUUGAUAUAAGACUGCUGAGACCAAUUUUAGAAAUGAAAAUACAAACAAAAAAAGAUA